rnacentral:rRNA from 1 species
CCCUUAGAUGUUCUGGGCCGCACGCGCGCUACACUGACGAAUGCAACGAGCUUAUAACCUUGGCCGAAAGGUCUGGGUAAUCUCCAAAUUUCGUCGUGAUGGGGAUAGAUUAUUGCAAUUAUUAAUCUUCAACGAGGAAUGCCUAGUAAGCGCAAGUCAUCAGCUUGCGUUGAUUACGUCCCUGCCCUUUGUACACACCGCCCGUCGCUCCUACCGAUUGAGCGAUCCGGUGAAUGUUUUGGACUUGGUACAGAAGCUUUUAGCUUGUGUAUCGACGAAAUUUUGUAAACCUUAUCGCUUAGAGGAAGGAAAAGUCGUAACA